rnacentral:rRNA from 1 species
AACGCGAAGAACCUUACCUGGGUUUGACAUCCCCUGAAAAGUGCAGAGAUGUAUAAUAGUCGCAAGACACAGGGAGACAGGUGCUGCAUGGCUGUCGUCAGCUCGUGUCGUGAGAUGUUGGGUUAAGUCCCGCAACGAGCGCAACCCUUUCCCUUAUUUGCCAUCAUUAAGUUGGGAACUAUAGGGGUACUGCCGAUGAUAAAUCGGAGGAAGGUGGGGAUGACGUCAAGUCCUCAUGGCCCUUACAUCCAGGGCUACACACGUACUACAAUGGCCAAGACAAAGCGAAGCAAAGCCGAGAGGUGGAGCCAAACGCAAAAACAUGGUCUCAGUUCGGAUUGUGGUCUGCAACUCGACCACAUGAAGUUGGAAUCUCUAGUAAUCGCAGAUCAGCAGGCUGCGGUGAAUACGUUCCCGGGCCUUGUACACACCGCUGUA